CACGUAGGGAAUCUUUCCACAAUGGACGAAAGUCUGAUGGAGCAACGCCGCGUGAGUGAAGAAGGGUUUCGGCUCGGUAAAACUCUGUUGUUAAAGAAGAACAUAUCUGAGAGUAACUGUUCAGGUAUUGACGGUAUUUAACCAGAAAGCCACGGGCUAACUACGUGCCAG
rnacentral:rRNA from 1 species